GAUGGCGACCGGCGCACGGGUGAGUAACACGUAUCCAACCUGCCGAUGACUCGGGGAUAGCCUUUCGAGAGAAAGAUUAAUACCCGAUGGCAUAGUUCUUCCGCAUGGUAGAACUAUUAAAGGAUUUCGGUCAUCGAUGGGGAUGCGUUCCAUUAGGUUGUUGGCGGGGUAACGGCCCACCAAGCCUUCGAUGGAUAGGGGUUCUGAGAGGAAGGUCCCCCACAUUGGAACUGAGACACGGUCCAAACUCCUACGGGAGGCAGCAUG
rnacentral:rRNA from 1 species